AGCUCUGGUUGAGUCACUCCCUUCUGAUAAUUAUUAGAGAUUUUAGACUUUAUAUGAAAGAAAAAAAAUAUUUUUUUUCCUGAAGACUUCUCAGCAUUUCCCUCCCCACGACUUCAUUUAGCCUGUGGUACCUGAGAGAUGCCAGCUUCAAAAAAGCCAACCCCAGCGCUAGAAUUCCCAGCCUUGUGAGCUGACUGCUUUAAGUAUACAUAUGCCGUCUGCAUAUGUAAUAUGGAAAAUGAUUUAAAAAUAAAAGGUGAAGCUAUAGAGCCCAUUGCCCUUAUUUCUUACUAAUGGAUUGAAUUUCAACGUUAACUGCUCCUAGAAGGCAGGGCCAAUACCUGCUGUAUUAGAACUGUUAUUAUCUUUCCUGUAUGUGGUAAUUUCAUCGGACAUGAUUCUGAUUGCAAGUGCUUAUUAAGUAAUGUUAAUGUAAUGAGAAUCACUUAGGGCCAAAGUGAAGAUCAUGGGUAAAAAUUUACUGUUUAAACUUAAUUAUCUUGUAAUCUUGCCUGUGGCUGGGUUUUCAUAGCAAAUGUCACCGGUUCUCUCAAGCAAUAUUAGUAAAUAAUAUCACUUGUUAUUGCCAGCCUUGGUCUGAAUGGGUCUUCCAUUUUUAUUUCAAAUUCUCUAUGAAAAUUAGGAACCUAAUUGAUGACACUUGGUGAACUUUUCUUUGCAAGGAAUAUAGAAGAAUUUUAAGAUUAAUAGGUACAUUUGGGUUAUUUUGCAGAUGUUUUCUCCACCUGUUAAUAGUGGGAAAACGAGACCAACAACACUGGGAAGUAGUCAGUUCAGCGGGUCAGGUAAGACGAUGUUGAAAAUCAGAAAUUUCUAUUUCAGAGCACUGACAUAUUUUAGUAGAAAAGUCUAUAAAGCAUUUUAGUGCCUGCCACACCAUUUUUUUACACUGUCCGGUUACAAUUAUAAACUACUAGCGCCUCAAACUUGGAGAGUUGUUCUGAAGAUUGCUUGGAUGUUUUAAAGAAUUUUAGCAUGGACUUAAAGUUGCUCUUUUUGUGAAUGUUAAGAUUGAAAAUUGUCUUGAGCAUGAUGGAUUGUGUCAUGACUGUAUUUAGAAAAGUGCUUGAAGAAAGCUUUGUGGUUCACGGGUGUUCCUUUUAUAUAUGCAGACAUUUAAUAUAUCUUCAGAUCAUUAGUGUUAUUAAAUCCUAGGCUCUAAAAUGGAUAAAAGUAUUGUUUAAUCUAUGUGCAUAAAAAGUAGAAUUGAGUCAAACAAUAAUUAAUAAGUUGUAUUUAUUUUAAAAAAUGGGUUUUACACUGUAGGAAAUAAGUAAUUUUGUGGAUAUUAAUUUAAAAUGAUAAUUCUAUAUUAAAAUAAGGUCUUAUUUUAAAUGACAUAGGGCCAAAUUUUUGUCCUGUAAUCAAAUUAUAUUAGGAUAUUUUUUAAAGUUAGAUUCCUAAGCAAUAUUAUUAAUGUUAAAUUUGCUUGCUUUUGGUAAACUAUGUCAUAUUACUAAAUAGUGUCCCACUUUAAAAAAAAAAACUUACAAUUUAAAAGUAAGUAUUCCAGAGCAGGGAUACAGAAGUUUAAUUUGUUUCAUUUCAACUUAUUCUUCAGUGUCCAAGAGAUGGGGAGAAGAGCAUUGAGAGCAUGGUCCUGAGAAAACUGGCUGUAGUGUGUCUGGGCAGGAGCCGCUCAGUCACUGCUCACUAGAGCAGUGCUUCUCGUUUACCCUAGCAAAAUCAUAGCUGCUUUCCAGAGGGCUGUGAGAGCAGAAAGCCUGGAAAUUAGCUUAAUUUUAUAACUGGCUUAACAUUUUAUUCUACUUCUACUUCAUGUUUAGAAAAAUGUUUCUGUUGAAAAUCACACAUCAGUUUAGCUGAACUCCAUUUUUAACUAUGACACUGAAGCAUGUCAUUUAACAAAUCAAAGAGGAAAAUAAAAGCAAUUUGAUUGCAUGUAACCUAAAGGCUAGUUGUAGUGUUCUUGAGGAAAUACUCGCCAGAGUCCAGCUCUUCCACCAUCUCUCCUUUUGCUGGUAAUCACUGGAACAUUUCUGCUUUUUAGGAAAGAGGUAGAAAAUUAUUUGUAAAGAAGUGGCUGUAUGCCAUACCUCUCUUAGCAUUUAGAGGACUUCUUGAUUUUACAACUACUAAGAGUUUGUUGUCACAAACUUUUAGAUUUACCUAUUGUAAGACAUAAUAGGCGGGCGCCUGGUGUGUUCUGUGACUCUUGAUUGCUAUUUUAUACUGUUAGCUUCCAAUCAAGUUGUGGAAAACAUAUUUACCUGGGCAUUGAUCAGGACAGGAGCACUAGAAACUUGCUGAGAGAAUGCAAUUGACUUAUUUUUAGAUAUUAAGAAUGACUUCUGAUAGGAAACCUUCUGGUGGACUGCAGGCAUGGCACUGGCAUUGCCAGCACUCUGCAGGGCUGGGUCUCACAAAUAUUUGUCAUACAAGUUACACUCAUUUUUCUGGAUUACGAUGUGUUUGGACUUAAGAAUCUAUAUUCUGUGGACAUAGCAGUAUUUAGCUGUGGGGUUUGUUUCAAAAGAAUUAUAACAUAAAGCUCUUCAGUAGUUAAUGAGACUUAAAUUUUGAGAUGAGAAAAUUGCACGAGGUUAUUUUACAGCAAAAUACCCAAUGGGUACAGCUUCUCCAUAGCCUUUCUUAUUUCAAAGUGGAUGUUUAAAAGAAAUUGGCACAAUAAUAUUCUGUGUAUGUACUAUGUGUGUAUCUUCUAGACAUUUGAUUAACCUAUGAUGAUUCCAAAGGAUACUUGUAACAUACUCUAGUUUUAUUGAUGUGCAACAUAUAGGAAGGAUCUUAUGGCUCUUUGGAAAUGUAAAGACUGGAAGUUUUUGUCUUGGGAGUAACAUGUGUGGCACUUGUCUUUUGCUUGGAGAGUGCUGCAGUUUAUAAUGUGCAGUAUUAUAUCCUUUUUGCUAUUUGUCCUUUCAGAGAAUGACUUAAUUUUGUAGUUGAUUAUUUUGAAACACAAUCCAAAUUAUGCGCAAGACUUCUGUAUUUUCGUUUUAGCUGAAAGUACUCAAUAUGUUCUAAAAAAUUGGAUGUUCCAUUUAUCUUAUGUCUGAAACAAAAUAACUUAUAUGGUAGCUGGUAACUUGAAUCUGUACAAUGUCAUUUCUUUAUGAAGAUGUUAUUUCCUUUGCAUUAUAGUUAGAUUGUAAAUUAAUCUAGUUGGUGUGGUAGGCUAUGUGAGAUGUUCUCUAAUGACCUUGUGGUAAGUGUUUCUUUGGAAAUAAAAGAUGGGAUACUCCAGAUUCAUACAUAGUUAUAGGAAAUAAUAGAUACAUCUGAGUGUAGUGGCUCACACUUUUAAUCUCAGUUUUUGGGAGGCAGAGGCAGGAGGAACAGGAAUUUAAGGUCAGUCUGGGCUGUGUGAAACUCUGUCAAAACCAACCAACCAACCAACCAACCAAGACCC
rnacentral:lncRNA from 1 species